UGGGAUAGAAUGGGACAAACUGUGUCACA
rnacentral:piRNA from 1 species